ensembl:lncRNA
CAUUGAAGUGUGCUUAUAUUAUACUAAUAUACAAUAUUAUAUGAUACUGAAGCUCCAAUACUUUGGCAAGCUGAUGCAAAGAGGUGACUCAUUGGAAAAGACCUUGACACUGGGAAAGAUUGAAGGCAAAAGGGAAAGGGGGUGGAAGUGGAUGAGAUGGUUAGAUAGCAUCAUGACAAAGGACAUGAGUUUGACCAAACUCCAGGAGAUGGUGGAGGACAGAGGAACCUGGCGUGCUGCAGUCCAUGAGGUCGCAAAGAGUCAGACACGACUUAGAGACUGAACAACAAUGAAAAUAUGAUGUGUUACAGGUGUCCAAUAUAGUGAUUCACAAUUUUUAACAGUUAUUCUCCAUUUAUAGUUAUUAUAAAGUAUUAGCUAUAUUUCCCAUGUUGUACAAUAUAUCCUUGUAACUUAUUUUACACAUAAUAGUUUGUACCUCUAAAUUCCCUACCCCUACAUUGCCCCCCUUUCUUCUCCCCACUAAUAACCAUUAAUUUGUUCUCUGUAUCUCUAAGUCUGCUUUUACUUUUUGUUAUAUUCACUACUUCUAUUUUUUAGAUUUCACAUAUAAGUGAUAUACAGUAUUUGUCUUUCUCUGACUUAAUUCACUUAGAAUAAUACUCUCCAAGUCCAUCCAUAUUGCUGCAAAUGGCAAAAUUUCAUUCCUUUUUUAUGGCCGAGUGGUAUUUCAUUAUAUAUAUAAUGCCACAUCUUCUUUAUCUAUUCAUUUGUUGCUUCCAUAUCUUGGCAACUGUAAAUGAUGCUGCUAUGAAUAUUGGAGUCCAUAUAUCUUUUCACAAUUCCAUCUAGCUAUAAUCAAAUAACUCCAGAAAAUGUCUCAAGAUUUAUUGUAAUAGGUACAUACUGCCUCUUGGUUUUUGUUGUUCUUAAGUGAAUUUAUCACUAGCUAGAAUAAUGUCUAUUGUAUCUUACAGGCAGCAGCAAGAUACUAUUGAAAGAACAGGAAAUGAAGUCAAAAGAUUUGUAUUCCAGUUUUAAUUCUGGCUGUUAUUGGUGUGAUGAUCAUGAAGAAAUCACUCAAUCUCCUAUUCAUUCAUUCAGUGCCUAAUUUGUACUAGUCACCAA